GGCAUCCGGUCAUGUGACCGGCAAGCGGCCUUUGGGACUAUGGUUUUCGACGAGCGUCUAGGGGUGGCGCUCUACAUUUAGGCAUCUCUAUGGUGGAAGCGCGGACGCGGCUUUGAAUCUAGAGAUCUAUGACAAAGAACAGCGGGGGUGGCAGAAAGUGUGAAGAGAGGAUUAACAUAAGGAAAAACCAGCUAUGCAGAUCGUGAGGCUGGAUGUUCGGGAAAUAGUUUCAAUACCCAGUAGAUGGCAGUGUGGGUAUAAAUAAGUUGUUCUUUUAUUGAUGACUCUACAUCCUAUGAUUCUGCGUGGUCAACCUUCCAGGGACAGGACCCGACUUGGACAUAAGAACAUAGGAAGAGCUUCCUGGAUCAGGCCAAUGGCCCAUCUAGUCCAGCAUCCUGUUCUUGCAGUGGCCAAGCAGAUGUCUGUG